GUAUUUAGUGAGCUCUUCUGAAACAAGGACACACAAAGAAUGGCUGGUAAAUGUUUUAUACUGCGCAGUACAGCCAAGGAUGUUUGUUCCUGUAAGACCGUCCUGGGACAUCCAUCUAGAGGGGAUGACUCAGGCAGCACGAAAGAAAAAUAAGUGUACAGCAGAAGUGCUGCUUACAAAGAUGUGAUACUAGAAACAGAGUUUUUCUUGUUCAGCUUCACAGAGUUUUCUAUUCCCAGCAUCACAGCAGGAAGCAUUACCUAAAAUGUGGGGGUUUUCCCCUCCUUAACAAGUGAUGCGUGAGAGGCUACGGUGCAAAGGCGUGUCCCUCAUGCUGGGCUUCCUGACACAACCAGUCUAUGCCCAUACAUAACCAAGCAGAGGGCAUGCCCUGUCUUUUCUGAUUCUCCCUUCCUCUUCCUCUUCCUCUUCUUCUUCCUCUUCCCAUGCCUUCCUUACCCUUGCCUCCUCUGCCACCCCCCCUUCCUUCACAGAAGCCUCUGGGGCUGGCAGUGGCCCUGUGAGCAUUACCAUGCACAAAGUCUCCGGUGGUGACAGUUUUUAGGGCUGUUCUGUGCAAAGUGUUCGUAGAAGUGCACUACUCUGUGUAAACGCCUUUUUUUUUCCUCCACUGUGUAUUACCACCUUUCAGUGAGAAAAGGAGCUAUAUGAAAAACCUAUUUCUUUUUCUCAACUUACAUCAGUUUUAGCCUGCUGUAGUGACACAGCCUUCUAUAGAGUUACUCCCAAUUUACACCAGUGCAUGUGAGAUGACAAUCAGGCAAAAUAUCUCUCUUGGACUUAUGGAAGGAAUGACCUUGCUGGGGAAUUCCUGAGCCCAAAAAUGUUACUUCAAUAGGGAAGGCCUCAUUUACACCUGUAUGUUCUGGAAGAAUCUAUUUUACAAGUAAAAAUAAAAUCGUUAUUUGACCAUCUCUCCAACAGGUGCAUGUUUCUCUCAGUUCAGAAAUAGUUUUGAAAACUAGAGAAAACAGUGAGCAACACUCUGGUAAGGAGAAAGGAAAAAGGAUCUUAACCUCAGUUCACAAACCCACAGACCUUCAGCUUACAGAAACAGGAUGGAAAGUUAUUUUAUUUGCUGUUUGACUUCUUGGAAGAAAACACCCGCUCCUCUACCUGAAACUCUUGAAAGAACAAAGAGGAUGGAAACUACACGGUCUCUGCAGGGCAAUCCCAGUUUCUCUUUCAAAUGAUUUUAUUUGUGUGACAGGCGUCAGGGCCAAGUUCAUUGUGGUUCAGCCGUGUUACACAGAGGGUGGAUCUGGCUACUUCUGUUGGAAGAGGAACAGUGUAAAACUAAUUUCUCCAGAUUUGCUGGUUUUGGCCCUGUUUUCAGAAAUAGUAUCUUUCAUGAUUUCAACAGAUGAUGAUAAAGGUUUGAAGCCAAAAGGGUCAUGAAGACUACAAACGGGGUCAGUUUCCAUCCCCUGUGGUAAGUGAGCCUAUUUACUGUCUGUUCCAAAGCACUGAAAGAUUAAAUUUGGGAGAAAUCAAUAUAUGACUUCUAGAGGGUAUGUGAACUGAAAUAGCUGUGAGCAUCUCUUUUCCCUCUUACAUGAAAUAUGCUCUUGAGUGUGAUACAGAAGACCUGUGUAAUUUGUUAUCAUGAUUGUGGGAUCCAAACAUCAAAUUUUGCAAAUUGGCAAAUAUGCAAAUGGACAUGAUAAAGUAACAUAUUUAUCGAUGAUAUAUAUGCCGCGUGAAAAAAAACUACUUUUCAUUGCACAGUGCAAAAUACUUUUGAGCAAUAUCCGAGAGUAUAAUCUAUAGCAUUGAUAAAAAUACCUCACUGGAGUUUGUUUAGCCACAGUUGUAAUGCAAAAAGCAGACACGGUACUAAAGCAGGUGUGUGGGGAGUGGUGCCCUUCACCCGGCGCAGGGGAGUCUCUGGGGGUGUACAGCACUGCUGACUGUCAGGCUGCGCUGUGUCCAGGAGGAAUAGCAUGGAUGGGUUGCUAUAGGCAGCAUACCACUUUGGAGGCACGGGUUCCACUGUGUGCAUCUGAGUGGGAGCCAACAGUAUGAACACAGAAGAAUGAUAUUUUUUUUUUUAAAAAAAAGCUUAUUCAAAGAUAUCUAAGCUGUAUUCAGCAUGUCCACUAUGGCACCUUAUCAUUGCCAGUUAUUAGGAUGCUUCUCCAGAAAACUGGAGACCUGCUUUCCAUGUCUCAGGCUGAAAGCAAUUUUAUUUAACUCUUACUGUAAGGGAAGUGGGGAAGAUGUAAGGAGAUGCUUUCUGCUGUCCAGCUGAAAAUAAAAUAUUUUAUAGCAAGGAAAGAUUUUUUUCUCUCUCUCCCCCUCUGAAUCAUAUACAGUCACUGCAGAGAAGCAUUUGCAAUACCUAGGUAUCAGUCUUUCCAAUUCAGACACUGCAGAGAGACACUCUGAAUAUGGUGCAGUAUCUUUGAAAGGCAAAGGCCUAUAUUGCUUCCUUGUACUCUCACCUCCCUUCCUACCACUUCUCCUUCAUUCCUCUCUACUUUUGUUCUUUUCCCCUUUCCCUUACAUUCCCUGUGGUGAGCUGACGAUGGUGCAAUUAGCCAGGAAAUACUUUAUUUAAAGAGAUAAGCAAAACCUGCUUCUGGUAGAACACUCUGAUUUGGAGAAACCUCUUUCUUGAUCUCCAGGAAUGUUAUUGUAGGCUAAUUUAGCUGUAUUUUGCUGUAGCAAAGCUGUAUCAUAGAUAGAUAGCCUCAAAUUACUUGGCUGUAGCCUUACUGACCUACAUUAUGAGUUUGAAUAGACCAAGUACCAGUCGAGAUUACAGUACCAUUGUGUGAUGUGUUCACAUUUGUCUUUGUUGCUCAAAAACAGACGUUUGUAUUAUGCAUUAGCAGGUAGUGUUUACCCCUAGCCUCCAAUGACUUACGGGACUACAGCUGCGCACCACUGCAACGCAGUCUUGCUCAAGAGGGAAGGAUGGAAUUUCCUGACCUGUCUCAGACAGUAGAUCAUCAGUCUUCACCACUCCUGGCAGCUAUGAAGGAUCCAGCAUGAGCCUCAGAAUUCAGAUAAAUGCAAUGAAGGGGCAUCAAAUUACCUCAAUCAAAGACCUGAUCUGAAAAUCCUCCUUCCUGUCUUUGCAAGGACAAGAUUGCUUGCAUGAGUAAAGGAUUGACUCACUUAUUCCUAAAGGGCUCUGGCAGGUGGGAAGGUGUGCAGUUAUUCACUGAAAUCUUUGCAUGCCAGACAACUUCUGCCCAGGCAGUGCCAACACUGACACAAAUCAGCGUCUGACGAGACUGUCAGCAGAGUGACUGUGCCGCCGAGCAGGACCUUGAUGUCUCCCACGAGGCCACGGAAGAAUGCCUUGAAUAACGUGAGAAAGGUGGAAACUUACCAAAUGAGAUGCAGACACUUGCCAUGCAGAGGAGACUGGACAUCAUCCGACAUGACUUGGCUUUCUCACCUUUGAGGUUUAAUGAAGACCAGCCUCACUGCCUGCCUCAAGUAACUUCAAGGACAACACCUUCAUAAAGCAUGUGAGAGACACAGAGACACGACUUGUGGCCAGCCUGGAGUGUCUGUGGAAUGGUGGUACGGGUGGGAGCCAGACAACCCAAAAGAGGAGGGACCAACACAUCAGUGCUGUACUAAGGUGCUCGGACACUGCACCGAACGGGGGUGCAGCCACUAGCAACCCCUGCCAGCCGGGAUCACCCCUCACGUCAGAGGUCCCGCUCCCGGCGCUGCCCACGCCCCAGCUC